rnacentral:tRNA from 1 species
CUGUGUAGAAGUAAAAAGUUUACAAUUAAUUUCGGCUUAAUAAUUAAGGCUUUCGUGCCUUCGUGCAGA